AUUCAUGACGAGUCCCAAAUAGGACGAAAUGCGCAUCCUGGAU
rnacentral:hammerhead_ribozyme from 1 species